rnacentral:rRNA from 1 species
ACCGGCGCACGGGUGCGUAACGCGUAUGCAAUCUACCUUGUACAGGGGAAUAGCCCAGAGAAAUUUGGAUUAAUGCCCCAUAGUAUAUAACCUUUGCAUGUUGGUUAUAUUAAAGUUCCAACGGUACAAGAUGAGCAUGCGUCCCAUUAGUUAGUUGGUAAGGUAACGGCUUACCAAGACGAUGAUGGGUAGGGGUCCUGAGAGGGAGAUCCCCACACUGGUACUGAGACACGGACCAGACUCCUACGGGAGGCAGCAGUGAGGAGUAUUGGUCAAUGGUCGCAAGACUGAACCAGCCAUGCCGCGUGCAGGAAGACGGUCCUAUGGAUUGUAAACUGCUUUUAUACAGGAAGAAACCCUCCCACGUGUGGGAGCUUGACGGUACUGUGGGAAUAAGGAUCGGCUAACUCCGUGCCAGCAGCCGCGGUAAUACGGAGGAUCCAAGCGUUAUCCGGAAUCAUUGGGUUUAAAGGGUCCGUAGGCGGUCUUAUAAGUCAGUGGUGAAAGCCCAUCGCUCAACGAUGGAACUGCCAUUGAUACUGUAAGACUUGAAUGCUUAGGAAGUAACUAGAAUAUGUAGUGUAGCGGUGAAAUGCUUAGAUAUUACAUGGAAUACCAAUUGCGAAGGCAGGUUACUACUAAGUGAUUGACGCUGAUGGACGAAAGCGUGGGGAGCGAACAGGAUUAGAUACCCUGGUAG